rnacentral:rRNA from 1 species
GAUGAACGCUGGCGGCGUGCUUAACACAUGCAAGUCGAACGAUGAAGCCCAGCUUGCUGGGUGGAUUAGUGGCGAACGGGUGAGUAACACGUGAGUAACCUGCCCUUAACUCUGGGAUAAGCCUGGGAAACUGGGUCUAAUACCGGAUAGGAGCGUCCACCGCAUGGUGGGUGUUGGAAAGAUUUAUCGGUUUUGGAUGGACUCGCGGCCUAUCAGCUUGUUGGUGAGGUAGUGGCUCACCAAGGCGACGACGGGUAGCCGGCCUGAGAGGGUGACCGGCCACACUGGGACUGAGACACGGCCCAGACUCCUACGGGAAGCAGCAGUGGGGAAUAUUGCACAAUGGGCGCAAGCCUGAUGCAGCGACGCCGCGUGAGGGAUGACGGCCUUCGGGUUGUAAACCUCUUUCAGUAGGGAAGAAGCGAAAGUGACGGUACCUGCAGAAGAAGCACCGGCUAACUACGUG